UACAGAGGUGGCAAGCGUUGUUCGGAAUCACUGGGCUUAAAGGGUGCGCAGGCUGUCGACAGGGUGUCCUGUGAAAUCCCUCGGCUUAACCGAGGAACUGCGGGGCAAACCGGUCGACUUGAGGCAGGUAGAGGUUGAUGGAACUCUGGGUGGAGCGGUGAAAUGCGUAGAUAUCCAGGGGAACGCCAAUGGCGAAAGCAGUCAACUGGGCCUGUCCUGACGCUGAGGCACGAAAGCCAGGGGAG
rnacentral:rRNA from 1 species